rnacentral:rRNA from 1 species
GCUUUCGCCUGUGACGAAGCGUGAGUGACGGUAAUGGGUAAAGAAGCACCGGCUAACUACGUGCCAGCAGCCGCGGUGAUACGUAGGGUGCGAGCGUUGUCCGGAUUUAUUGGGCGUAAAGGGCUCGUAGGUGGUUGAUCGCGCCGGAAGUGUAAUCUUGGGGCUUAACCCUGAGCGUGCUUUCGAUACGGGUUGACUUGAGGAAGGUAGGGGAGAAUGGAAUUCCUGGUGGAGCGGUGGAAUGCGCAGAUAUCAGGAGGAACACCAGUGGCGAAGGCGGUUCUCUGGGCCUUUCCUGACGCUGAGGAGCGAAAGCGUGGGGAGCGAACAGGCUUAGACACCCUGGUAGUCCACGCUGUAAACGGUGGGUACUAGGUGUGGGGUCCAUUCCACGGGUUCCGUGCCGUAGCUAACGCUUUAAGUACCCCGCCUGGGGAGUACGGCCGCAAGGCUAAAACUCAAAGGAAUUGACGGGGCCCCGCACAAGCGGCGGAGCAUGCGGAUUAAUUCGAUGCAACGCGUAGAACCUUACCUGGGUUUGACAUGGAUCGGGAGCGCUCAGAGAUGGGUGUGCCUCUUUUGGGGUCGGUUCACAGGUGGUGCAUGGCUGUCGUCAGCUCGUGUCGUGAGAUGUUGGGUUAAGUCCCGCAACGAGCGCAACCCU